GAUGAACGCUGGCGGCGUGCUUAACACAUGCAAGUCGAACGGAAAGGCUCCUGCUUGCAGGGGUACUCGAGUGGCGAACGGGUGAGUAACACGUGGGUGAUCUGCCCUGCACUUCGGGAUAAGCCUGGGAAACUGGGUCUAAUACCGGAUAGGGCCACAUUUUGGAUGGUGUGGUGGAAAGUUUUUCGGUGUGGGAUGAGCUCGCGGCCUAUCAGCUUGUUGGUGGGGUAAUGGCCUACCAAGGCGUCGACGGGUAGCCGGCCUGAGAGGGUGUACGGCCACAUUGGGACUGAGAUACGGCCCAGACUCCUACGGGAGGCAGCAGUGGGGAAUAUUGCACAAUGGGCGCAAGCCUGAUGCAGCGACGCCGCGUGGGGGAUGACGGCCUUCGGGUUGUAAACUCCUUUCGCUAGGGACGAAGCGCAAGGGACGGUACCUGGAGAAGAAGCACCGGCUAACUACGU
rnacentral:rRNA from 1 species